UACGGAGGGUGCAAGCGUUACUCGGAAUUACUGGGCGUAAAGGGUGCGUAGGUGGUUUGUUAAGUCUGCUGUGAAAUCCCCGGGCUCAACCUGGGAAUGGCAGUGGAUACUGGCAAGCUAGAGUGCGGUAGAGGGUAGUGGAAUUCCCGGUGUAGCAGUGAAAUGCGUAGAGAUCGGGAGGAACACCAGUGGCGAAGGCGGCUACCUGGACCAGCACUGACACUGAAGCACGAAAGCGUGGGGAGCAAACAGG
rnacentral:rRNA from 1 species